GGAGAUAGCUCGUACUCCCCGAAAUGCAUUUAGGUGCAGCGUCGUAUUAUAGCUUGGUGGAGGUAGAGCGACUGGUUGGUUGAGCGGGACUACAAUCUUAGCAAUGUCAGCCAAACUCCGAAUGCCACUAAUUGUGUUGUACGGCAGUGAGACUGUGGGGGAUAAGCUUCAUAGUCGAGAGGGAAACAGCCCAGACCAUCAACUAAGGCCCCUAAGCGUGUGCUAAGUGGGAAAGGAUGUGGAGUUGCUUAGACAACCAGGAGGUUGGCUUAGAAGCAGCCAUCCUUGAAAGAGUGCGU
rnacentral:rRNA from 1 species